rnacentral:rRNA from 1 species
AACAAACGCUGGCGGCGUGCCUAAUACAUGCAAGUCGGACGGGGUAGCAAUACCUAGUGGCGCACGGGUGAGUAACGCGUGGAUAAUCUGCCUUAGAGUGGGGGAUAACUAGUCGAAAGAUUAGCCAAUACCGCAUAAGACCACAAGAACUGCGGUUCAAGGGGUCAAAGGUUUUUCGCUCUAAGAUGAGUCCGCGUAAGAUUAGCUAGUUGGUGAGGUAAUGGCUCACCAAGGCGACGAUCUUUAACUGGUCUGAGAGGAUGAUCAGUCACACUGGAACUGAGACACGGUCCAGACUCCUACGGGAGGCAGCAGUAGGGAAUAUUGCACAAUGGAGGAAACUCUGAUGCAGCGACGCCGCGUGAGUGAUGAAGGCCUUCGGGUCGUAAAGCUCUGUCGCAGGGGAAUAACACAAUGAAUGUACCCUGUAAGAAAGGAUCGGCUAACUUCGUGCCAGCAGCCGCAGUAAAAC